CCGGGACCGAAAGCGAGUUCGCCUCCUGCACUCCAGAAGACCGCUCCACCGCCGGUUGCAGUCCAAUUCCAAUACUCUAUCCAAAACCCUAACAUAGCUCUCCAAUUCACCACCGCCAUCUCUCAACUCCUUUCUCGAAUAAUCCAGUAGCUCCGCCCACUCUUCGCUUUCUCCUUCUCUGUGCUCUCCAAAUCGAAACUCCUGUGCAGGUUCUCCGAAACCCUAUCGAUCAAGCUCUGAACUAGCAGCAAAAACUCGGCGCGCAACUGCAGAUUGGACGUGGACUAGCAGGUGGUCGGCGACGGCGGUGACUCGGAAGGAGUUCACGAACGAAGCCGAGACCUGCUGCCUGGCGCCGCAGCCAAUGUUGAGACUGCCCUGUGGUUCCUAGUCGGCCGCGCCACUUCGAACUUUGAUGCUGAACGUCGGAGUCCGGAACCGGA
rnacentral:lncRNA from 1 species